AUUUUACAUGUACUUUAUUUCACUGUUUUUCAGCACAAUACAUAACAUGCAUCCAAAACUGAACAAAUUAAACCAACAGCAGAGGAGAGGAGACAGUCAUUUUGGUUGGAUAAAGAGUAGUCAUCAUAUUUUUGUGGAUCUGGUACCCAUGUAGAAUUCAGUUACCAUGACAACACUAUGAGAACAUGCUGCCGAGUCUUCUUCAAACAAUUAACAUGCUUCUUUUUUGAUGCAACAACCAUGACAUUCAUAUUUAUCGAACCGCUGUUUCAUACAAAGGUUACACACUAUAUAAUUAUACUGUGAAAGGUACAUCACACAACUCUCAGCACAUAUACUGUAUGAACAGGGGAUGAUGGAUGACAAACAUGACUCACAGCUCUCUUGAAGAGGAGGAAAGAAACUCUGACUCAUGACACAUGGAAGAGCAUUGUAAAUGGCAUCAGUCUUCCAGUGUUGGGUUCAUAGUUCCUCGUACAGGUUAAACCAGCGACUUGGUCUGUUCUAUUUUAAAGACCUGACUAACCUGGCAAAAUGAUUCAGAGCAUUCUGUAAGUGAUUCAUUCGUAUUACUUCCUUCACAAAGAAAUAAAAAAAAAAACCCCAAAACACUAAGAUAUCAUACUGCAUGAAUAGUACAAAUGCAAAUGACAUCCUUGGAGCAUCCUUUCCUUUCUUUGUCAUCUGGACGCUAAUGCCAUGUAAUGGACGGCAUUACCAGACAGUAUUAGACACUAAUAAUCAGAUCUAACCAUGUCUGGUAAGACGCCAAUUAACAGGCUUUAGAUAGAUAUAUCGUAGACUGGGCUGAAUUUAUUGUACUUGAAAGAAAAACAGGAAUGAAAUACAGUGUGAGCUGUGACUGGAUAGCAAUAAAACCAUCUGUUGCAGUGAUCCAAGUUAUAGUUACAAUGAAGUUUGAAAGAACGGAAGGGAAAACAGGAGAACAAAAGGAGAGAUGAAAAGCCUAAAGCCUAAAGUACUGCCUCUUUAUGAAGCUAAAUGACGUGACUUUGUAAUGCGUACUUAUAAAAAUACAAAAAAGCCAUGAACAACAAACAUAACUCAGUUUCAUGCAUGUGUGACACUAAAUAAAAAAUAAAUAAAAAACUCCCUCAGAUGUGCAAAUAUGGGCGUGGUUUAAUAUUUGAGUCUUCCACCUUAACCAAACAGUAUGUUGUAAAACACUAUGUUAGACAUUGUUAGACAUUGUUACAAUGUUAGACAAUGUAUUUGUGUACUUUCUGUUGUUUUUUUUAAUCCUGAUAAAAAGCAAAGCCACCUAAACUAUUAAAUAUAGGCUACGGAUUAGUUCCAAUAUCUGACUUAGUCAGUUUUAGUGUUACUUUACCAAAGUCUCAUUCCUUUGUUGUGGAGUGUUUGCUCCACUCAGGCACUGAACUACACAUAAAUGUCUAUGCUGUCAGGAUAAAUAUGAUCUACAAUAUUUAGGAAGAUAUAUAAGCAGAACCAGGCAAUGGGAAGAGGAGGGGCAGAGUGUAGGGUGUUGUUCUCUCUAUUCUGAUUAUAUCUUCCCAACUGAACAUGAAACAAUGCUACUCAUCCGGCUACAUAACAACACACUCUUUUCCUAGUCUGACCUUGCAGGUUUAACCUUUAAGGACUUUAAGAGUACUAAUAAUAUUUCACCCCUAAUAUAUGCAUCUACCAUGCUACAAAAGAAAUCUUGGUUCUAGAAAUCUAAGUGCUACUGUGCUAGAAAUUUUGGAUGUCUUCCAUUAUCCUAAAGGCAACAUAUCGAAAAGGUUUCACUCAGAAAAUCUUCCAAGAAUUAACAGCGUCUGCACGCUACAAGGAAGUGCUGAGAAUCACAACCGCUAAUAUUCCUGAGAAACCUGUGUGUGUAUUGUCAACAUAUAAAAAAAAAAACCUGUCCUAAACUGCAUUUUUAUCCUAACAGUUCAAAUAAAGAUCUAAGACAUGAUAAGACAGAUGACAUAUGGAAAAUGUGGUUAGCUGAAAUGAAAUAAAAAUGUAUAAUCUAAGUACAUUACCUAUGAUAAAGUGGCGAGAGAAUCCUUUGCAGUCA
ensembl:lncRNA